AAAAAAAAAAAAAAAAAAAAAAAAAAAAAAAAAAAAAAAAAAAAAA
rnacentral:ribozyme from 13 species